CACCAUAAUGUUGAAAAGGAAGACAAGGAUACGGCCUGUUGAUGAUGCCAGGACACACAUUCUGUCUUUGAGGGACAAGCCUGGGUUUAUGGAACGAUUUAUCGAUAAUAAAAAAGGUAGAGGAGUGUUUGCUACCCAGCCUGUGGAAGCCGGAGCUUUUGUUUUUGGAGUACAGGGGUGAACUCAUUUCAGCAGAAGAAUGCCGGGCGAGAGACUACACUGAGUUACAGAGCACAUUCCUGUUCGAAUUUGAGUGGCAGAAGCGUCACUGGUGUAUUGAUGCAUCCAAAGAAGACGGUUCUCUUGGAAGAUUGAUUAAUGACAACCACAAAUCUCCAAACUGCACCAUGAAAAAAAUCAUAGUAAACGACACGCCACAUUUGUGUCUAUUUGCUGUGAAGAAAAUUGAAAUAGGAAGUGAAAUCGAAUACAACUACGGUGAUUCACAAUGGCCGUGGCGUAAAAAGGAGCCAAAGCAGCAGACUUCUGUUAUAGAGACCAAAACAUCCCUAACAGAUCACUCUUCCCAUGAUGCCUCCAACAAAGAUGCUGUCGUCACGCAGGAGCCAAAGCAGCAGACUUCUGUUAUAGAGACCAAAACAUCCCUAACAGAUCACUCUUCCCAUGAUGCCUCCAACAAAGAUGCUGUCGUCACGCAGGAGCCAAAGCAGCAGACUUCUGUUAUAGAGACCAAAACAUCCCUAACAGAUCACUCUUCCCAUGAUGCCUCCAACAAAGAUGCUGUCGUCACGCAGGAGCCAAAGCAGCAGACUUCUGUUAUAGAGACCAAAACAUCCCUAACAGAUCACUCUUCCCAUGAUGCCUCCAACAAAGAUGCUGUCGUCACGCAGGAGCCAAAGCAGGUAUUUACCAUCAAAGGGUUUUCUCUAGUGAACUAUACCGAAAGUGAUGAGACGGAUGAGGAGUAUAUUAAAGACAACCCUCCCAGUCCACACUGUGAUGUUGUUCGAAAGAAGACGAGGAAUGGAAACAUUCAGGUGGUUGGAGUAGCUGAUUUUUCUGAUCCUCUGUUUGACUCAAAUGAGAGUAUAGUAGAUGAAACUGAUGAGGAUUCUAGUCUGCAGUCAGACAAUGAAGUUGUUCCAAAAAAUUUUUUGAUGGAUAGAGUACCAAAUUUUUCUGUUCCUCUUAAUGAGUCAAGUGAUGACAGCAUAAAUGAGCCUUCCACUCCUAUGUCUGGAAUGGCUUCACAAAGGCCGAGGAGAAACUGUCACCGUCCUAUUCAAAGGAGUCUUGUAGAAUCCGAUGACUCCUGUUAUGAUAGUGAAGAUGAUUAUAUUCCAAAUCCCAGGGAGGAAAGCAAUGACAGUGACUGCAGCUUGGAGUUAUCCCUGGAAAAUAAAAAAAAGAAUGUCAAAAUGUCAUCCAUUAGUCAGUGCAGAAACAAGUCUUCAAGUCAGAGCCGAUUUAAGUCCAGUCAGAACAAAAGUGAGUCUUCAAGUCAGAGCCGAUUUAAGUCCAGUCAGAACAAAAGUGAGUCUUCAAGUCAGAGCCGAUUUAAGUCCAGUCAGAGCAGAAGAUUUGAAACAAGUCAUGACUCGGCACAAAGAUUUCCUGAUAGCCUAGAAGAAGGAAGACACAAGGAGACAAGUGUUUCAAUGCCACCUGAAGAAGAGCCAUCGGUCUUUGUUAAUCCAGUUUUAAAGAAGGAGGAUGGUUCCAGAAGAUAUAAUAAAAAACAUCAUUGCUUGUAUUGUGGACAGGUAGUUCAGAAAAUGUCCAGACACUUGUCGCGUAGACACAGCGAUGUGGUUGAGGUCGCAAAGGCAUUAAGCUUGCCAAAGAAUUCAAAAGAAAGGCGACGACAGUUGGAUUUUCUCAGAAACAAGGGUAACUUUGAACACAACACUCAAGUUUUGGAGAGUCGCAAAGGCAAACUUAUCCCAUGGAAGCAGCCAAAGAAAAUGACAGAUGGACAAGAAUUCAUGCACUGUGUUUACUGCUAUGGAAUGUUCCGAAAAAGAGCGAUGUGGCGUCAUUUUCAGGUCUGUAAUUUCAAGCCUCAGGGUAAGACAUCUAAACGAGGUAAAACAAGAGUUCAAGCUUUGUGUGCAUUUGCUGAACCUGCUCCAAGUGGAUUUAGCGACGCGUACUGGAAGUUCUUAAGUGGUAUGAAUCAGGAUGAGGUUGCAGUUGCUAUUAAGGAAGACCGCUGCAUUCUUGAGUAUGGUUACAGACAGUUCAGAAAGAAUGAGUAUGUAAUCAGCCAGCACCAAUAUAUUCGACAAAAACUGAGAGAGCUUGGCAGACUGGUACUGGAAGCAAAAAAGUUGACACAUGUGAAGACUAUCAAAGAACUCAUAAAGCCUGAAAAGUACACUCAUGUUGUCUCGGCUGCAAGAUGCCUUGCUGGAUUCAGUGGUGAAACUGGCAAAUAUAAACGUCCGUCUCUAGCUCGCAAAGUUGGACAUGGCUUGCAUGCUUUAGCCAUGUUUAUCAAAUCUGAAGGAUUGAAGAUGAAAGAUCAACAGACUGCCAAAGAUGCUGAGGAAUUUGCACUGCUAUACCAAGAAAGUUGGAAAUUUGACAUUGCAAGUCAAGCGCUAACUCAGCUUAACCAGACCAAGUGGAAUUCUCCUCAGAUUCUACCAUUCACACAGGAUGUCCAAAGACUGCAUUGCUAUUUGUCUGAGAAACAGCAGAAGCAAUUGAAUGCCCUGCAAGAAGAGCCUUCUCCCUUGAACUGGAAGGACCUUGCUAAAGUGACCCUGGCGCAAGUUAUCCUCUUCAACCGACGAAGAGCAGGAGAAGUAUCCCGAAUGUCCUUGUCGGCGUUCAUGUCAAAGGAUACAUCAGAAACGCACGAAGAUGUUAACUUAGCCCUUACAGCACUCGAGCAGAAGCUUUGCAAACAUUUUGUUCGGAUUGCCAUAGUAGGAAAGAGAGGGAGGAAAGUCCCUGUUCUCCUUACCCCGGUCAUGAGAGAAUCGAUCGAUACUCUGACUGAAAAGCGAGAAGAAUGUGGAGUACUGAGUGAAAACGGAUACUUGUUUGCAUUGCCGCUCUCUGUCCAUUACUUGAGGGGUUCUGAUUGCAUUAGGCAGUUUGUGAAUGAAUGUGAUGACCUCAAACAUCCCAAAGCGCUAACCUCAACAAAACUUAGGAAACACAUUGCUACUCUGUCGACUGUUCUGAAUCUCAAGACUACAGAACUCGACCAAUUGGCAGAUUUCCUUGGGCAUAACAUCGAGGUCCACAGAAAGCACUACCGCCUUCCAGAGGGCACCCUCCAGCUAGCUAAAAUAAGCAAAGUUCUUCUAGCGCUGGAACAGGGACGGCUAGGAGAAUACAAGGGGAAGAAUCUGGAUGAAAUCCAGCUUGAUGUGACUGAGACUGUUGACAUGGAUGGGUGUUCACAAGAGGAAGAUGACUUUAUUCCAGAAGUACAGGAGCCUGAAGUUGAGGACAGUGUGGCAUCCACACAGGAACCUACUUCCACGCUUCAUUCCCAAUACCAGAGAAAGUCGUCAAAAAAGAGAGGUAAAGAAACUGCUGUCAAAAGAAGCUGGACAACAGAUGAAUGUGCGGCAGUAGAAAGGCACCUAAGGAAAUUCAUUGUGAGGAGCCAAGUUCCAGGGAAAAAGGACUGUCAGCGCUGCGUUGAUGCAGAAGCGGUCAAAUACUUCAUCAAAAAUCGUAUUUCUGCCAUAAGAAGGAAAGUACAGUGAAAUACAGGUAGCUCAACGUAUUGGAUGCCUUCCCACUAGCAUUCACAUCGGGACAUGUUCUAAGUGUUUUCAACAGUUGACAUUUAGUUGUUUUCAUUGUAUUAUCCUCUUAAAGGGUUAGUUGUCACCAUUUACUCUUAUUUGUCAUUUCAAACCCAUAAGAAAUUAGUUCAUCUUUGGAACACAAAAUAUGUUUUGAAUGUUUCCUCCAUUGUUUGCAUUGCCGCUCUGUCCAUUACUUGAGGGGUUCCGAUUGCAUUAGGCAGUUUGUGAAUGAAUGUGAUGACAUCAAACACCCCAAAGCGCUAACCUCAACAAAACUAAGGAAACGCAUUGCUAUCUGUUCAUCCUAAACUUUCAAGCUUCAGAGCAUUGAUAACGUAGAAGUAAUCCAUGUGGUUUAAUCCCAGUUUUGUGAUGUGAAUGCUCUCUCACUUUAUCCACCCACUUAACAUUAUCCAACAAUUGCAAUAACUGUGAACUGGACUUUGCAUUGAUGCAGCACACUCAAUUAUACACAUUUUCUGGUUAAAAGGGAUUCUUUGCCUCAUAUGCCCUUUUCCUUGUUUGUCAUGUUGCUCUGCCCUGUUUUUGUGCUAAUGUUGAUCUCACUUAAUCAAUCUGUUAUUCAUAUUAUCCACCAAUGCAAUAACUCUGAACUGGACUUUGCAUCGCUGCAGCGCACACAAUUAUACAAAUUUUUCCUGGUUACCAAUGAUUAUUCACCUCAUGUGAUUUUUGUGUUAUUACCAAAUAUAUGUUCAUUGUGCAAUACCAAAUAUAUGUUCAUUGAGGACAAAUCAUGUUUUAAAGUUGUUGUUUUUUAAUCCAGUGUUUAGUGUAAAAUAUUACUCACGGUAUUAGUGCUAUAAUUCCACAGGGUCUUAAAGUCUUUAUUCAUUAGAUGAAUAGGGAGUUUUCAUGUGAAGUCCUCAAUUUAAAGGAGUAUAUUAUCUUUAGGUCGCAGUCAACAUGACUGGCUAGGAACAUGACUUCAUUAGAAAUUGAAGAAAAAUAACCAUGGGACAAACAAGAUCCCCUUCAGCAAAACUGCACAGUUCAUUCAGUGACCAAUACAAUGCAGACAAAGUACAGUUGGCGUCCUGCAGACUGAAGCAGUUCAGGCUGUGACCAAUAUUUGAGGGCUCAUUGAUUUAGAAAAGUCUCUGGAGUGGCUUUUUUUAUGCCAUGUUAAUGGCUAAACUAAUAUAGACGUGUGCGGAUUAAUUUAGAGGAUAUGCAUUAUAAUCUAAAAAAGUUUAUAUGGUAAUCAAGGGCAAAUAAUGGAAGUAGUUGAUGUUUCACAGAUAGUGACUUUGGUCCCUUCUAAGAUAUAAAGAUUAGAAAUGUGUGUGUAUCUGUGAAAGUGGACCCCACAACUCCUAAAUGUUAAAUCCGGGCCCCACAAAUGACUCAAAAACGCAUGUGCAAACAAUUUUGUUUGAAUUUUGGUAUAUUGAAGUGAUAUUUCUUAUUAGGAAUUUUUUGUUAUCUUGCUUGAUUUUUUACAAGUCUGUAGAACCACUGGAAGUGGUGGACCCCACAAUUGGGCAAAAAACGGUGGUCCCCCUUAUGGUAGAAAAACAAGUAUGUGUGUGUGUGUGUGUGUGUGUCUGAAAGCGUGCGUUUGAUUCAUAUCCAUGUUUCAUUACAGCUGACAGUGACAUGAAGCCACAGCAACAUCUAUUUUCUCUCUCGUUCUUUCUCUUUCAUAGGUGGGCUUAUACGUAUCACUAUGCAGUGGAGCAAUAGAAUCCAAUGCAGUGUGAGGGAAUGCAUCGGAUGAUGUGAAAAACCUCUUGCAUCACUCCAUACUAACCCAACCCAUCUCUCUAUAUAGUAAAGUGAAAGUGAAAGUGAAAGUGAAUCUGACGUGACAUACAGCCAAGUAUGGUGACCCAUACUUGGAAUUCGUGCUCUGCAUUUAACCCAUCCAAAGUGCACACAUACAGCAGUGAACACACACCGUGAACACACACCUGGAGCAGUGGGCAGCCAUUUAUGCUGCGGAGCAGUUGGGUGUGCAGAUAGCACUGUACAUUCACUCCCCCCACCUACAAUCCCUGCCGGCCCGAGACUUGAACUUGAACGUAAAGACUGCAUGCUAACACUAAUGUUCAAAAGGUUGGUGUCAGCAUUUUUUUUUUUUUUUGCCUUUGAAUUCAUUAAGGAUGCAUUAAAUUGAGCAGUACAACUGUUGUUAACAUUGUAAAUUUCAACAAAUCAUACUGACCCCUCGAUGGCAAACAGGUGUGAGAUAAUUAAUGAACAACUAAAAAAAAAAAAACUAAAGAUUAAACAUGAACAAAGAAGAGAGGAAAAAGGAAGGUUAGCAAAAUAAAAGUCCUUCAAAACUAAAUCAAAACAAACUGGACUAAACAUACCUGUGACAGAUAUAUUGUUAU
ensembl:lncRNA